rnacentral:rRNA from 1 species
AUUUGCGCAGCAUAGGUGGGAAGCUUUGAUGAUAUUCUUGCGGGAGUAUUUGAGCUAUCAGUGAGAUACCACUCUUGUAAUGUUAAGUUUCUAACUUUGUACCAUUAGCUGGUCAGAGGACACUUUCAGGCGGGCAGUUUGACUGGGGCAGUCACCUCCCAAAAGGUAAUGGAGGUGUGCAAAGGUUCCCUCAGGCUGGACGGAAAUCAGCCAUAGAGUGUAAAAGCAAAAGGGAGCUUGACUGCGAGACUGACAUGUCAAGCAGAGACGAAAGUCGGCUUUAG